AGUCAUGCGUUGAGUAAGAGGAGUAACAUUGGGACGUGUUUAGAGAGAAAACCAUUUGCUGCAAGGUUUUUCACGAAGCGAUGUGAAGGUAGCUUAGGAGCAGAUACGUCCGGUUGGUAAUCGUUAUCUUACUAAAUGAGUGACAAUAUCUAGUAUCCCUAGUUAUUGUAAGCUAGGUGGUACCGCGAACUAAUCAAUUCGUCCUAAAA
rnacentral:ncRNA from 1 species